rnacentral:rRNA from 1 species
AUACGGAGGGUGCAAGCGUUACUCGGAAUCACUGGGCGUAAAGCGCGCGCAGGCGGUUUGAUAAGUUGGAUGUGAAAUCCUAUGGCUCAACCAUAGAACUGCAUCCAAAACUGUCAAACUAGAGUCUGGGAGAGGAAGAUGGAAUUAGUUGUGUAGGGGUAAAAUCCGUAGAGAUAACUAGGAAUACCAAAAGCGAAGGCGAUCUUCUGGAACACUACUGACGCUGAGGCGCGAAGGCGUGGGGAGCAAACAGGAUUAGAAACCCCAGUAGUCC